rnacentral:rRNA from 2 species
CAAUCAAACCGGGAGAUAGCUGGUUCUCCCCGAAAGCUAUUUAGGUAGCGCCUCGUGAAUUCAUCUCCGGGGGUAGAGCACUGUUUCGGCUAGGGGGCCAUCCCGGCUUACCAACCCGAUGCAAACUGCGAAUACCGGAGAAUGUUAUCACGGGAGACACACGGCGGGUGCUAACGUCCGUCGUGAAGAGGGAAACAACCCAGACCGCCAGCUAAGGUCCCAAAGUCAUGGUUAAGUGGGAAACGAUGUGGGAAGGCCCAGACAGCCAGGAUGUUGGCUUAGAAGCAGCCAUCAUUUAAAGAAAGCGUAAUAGCUCACUGGUCGAGUCGGCCUGCGCGGAAGAUGUAACGGGGCUAAACCAUG